rnacentral:rRNA from 1 species
UACGUAGGGGGCAAGCGUUGUCCGGAUUUAUUGGGCGUAAAGAGCGUGUAGGCGGUUUGGUAGGUCCGCUGUGAAAACUCGAGGCUCAACCUCGAGACGCCGGUGGAAACCAUCAGGCUAGAGUCCGGAAGAGGAGAGUGGAAUUCCUGGUGUAGCGGUGAAAUGCGCAGAUAUCAGGAAGAACACCCGUGGCUAAGGCGGCUCUCUAGUACGGUACUGACGCUGAGACGCGAAAGCCAGGGGAGCGAACGGG